rnacentral:rRNA from 1 species
UACAGAGGUCUCAAGCGUUGUUCGGAAUCACUGGGCGUAAAGGGCGCGUAGGCGGCCAUUUAAGUCGGGGGUGAAAGCCUGUGGCUCAACCACAGAAUUGCCUUCGAUACUGGAUGGCUUGAGACCGGAAGAGGUAAGUGGAACUGCGAGUGUAGAGGUGAAAUUCGUAGAUAUUCGCAAGAACACCAGUGGCGAAGGCGGCUUACUGGUCCGGAUCUGACGCUGAGGCGCGAAAGCGUGGGGAGCAAACAGG